AUACUUACCUGUCAGGGGAGACAGCAUGAUCACGAAUGUGGUUUUCCCAGGGCAAAGCUGAUCCAUUGCACUGGGGACCUGCUGACCCCUGCAAUUUCCCCACAUGGGGGCAACUCGACUGUUGAAAAAUGAAAGCUGAGUGAGCCUUAGGCUGUGUCCCU
rnacentral:snRNA from 1 species